rnacentral:rRNA from 1 species
AACAGGAUUAGAUACCCUGGUAGUCCACGCCGUAAACGAUGUCGACUUGGAGGUUGUGCCCUUGAGGCGUGGCUUCCGGAGCUAACGCGUUAAGUCGACCGCCUGGGGAGUACGGCCGCAAGGUUAAAACUCAAAUGAAUUGACGGGGGCCCGCACAAGCGGUGGAGCAUGUGGUUUAAUUCGAUGCAACGCGAAGAACCUUACCUGGUCUUGACAUCCACGGAAGUUUUCAGAGAUGAGAAUGUGCCUUCGGGAACCGUGAGACAGGUGCUGCAUGGCUGUCGUCAGCUCGUGUUGUGAAAUGUUGGGUUAAGUCCCGCGACGAGCGCAACCCUUAUCCUUUGUUGCCAGCGGUCCGGCCGGGAACUCAAAGGAGACUGCCAGUGAUAAACUGGAGGAAGGUGGGGAUGACGUCAAGUCAUCAUGGCCCUUACGACCAGGGCUACACACGUGCUACAAUGGCGCAUACAAAGAGAAGCGACCUCGCGAGAGCAAGCGGACCUCAUAAAGUGCGUCGUAGUCCGGAUUGGAGUCUGCAACUCGACUCCAUGAAGUCGGAAUCGCUAGUAAUCGUGGAUCAGAAUGCCACGGUGAAUACGUUCCCGGGCCUUGUACACACCGCCCGUCACACCAUGGGAGUGGGUUGCAAAAGAAGUAGGUAGCUUAACCUUCGGGAGGGCGCUUACCACUUUGUGAUUCAUGACUGGGGUGAAGUCGUAACAAGGUAACC